CCCACGGCCAAAACGCGAGAAACAUUGUAGCAUGCAAGGAAAUACUAAAUUGUCUUUCACUGACCGAGGAUCACAGAUUUUUUAAAUAGAUUUUUUUCUGAUUAUGACUUCUACGUGAAAAUCAUCAAUAAUUUCACUAUCAAGAAAUAACCAGUGUUAACAUUUACAGAUUUUUUAUUGUGAUUUUCUAACCAUGUGGUUUGUUUCACUUGUAUAUAUUCUUUUUCUUUGUGUAUACUGCUUUCCUUUUUUGUUCUACAAAAUUCUAAAUCACAGUGAUUGAGCUUUAAGUAGGUAACCAGAUUUCUGGGAAGAUAUUGAUGCAUAAGAUAGUACAUUGCAGCAUUACUUAAUAAAACAAGAAAUUAGAAACAUAGUGCCUAACGAAGAAAAAAUGUUAAUUUGCGGUAUAAGCAUGCAACACAGUCAUCUAUUCAUGCAGCAAACGUGUUGAGUACAAUAAUGAAUGAAACACACUGGGAAAUGUUCUAGAUACAGUCAACCAGAAAAAGCAGCAAGUAUUUCGAUUUAGUGAGCAAUUACUAAUGGAUGAGGUGUAAGAAUGACACUUAGAAUCUGUCAUGUAUUAGAUGAGGCAAGAAAGAAAAUUUCAGGGAGUUUCCGUCGUGGAGCAAUGGUUAACGAAUCCGACCAGGAACCAUGAGGUUGCUGGUUCGAUCCCUGCCCUUGCUCAGAAGGUUAAGGAUCUGGCGUCGCCGUGAGCUGUGGUGUAGGUCGCAGACGCGGCUCGGAUCUGGCAUUGCUCUGGCUCUGGUGUAGGCUGUCGGCUACAGCUCCGAUUUGACCCCUAGCCUGGGAACCUCCAUAUGCCACGGGAGCGGCCCAAGAAAUGGCAAAAAGACAAAAAAUAAAGUAAAAAAAAUUUAAAAAAGAGAAAAUUUCAGUAAUUCAAGAUAUACUUUUUCGUUUGGACCCAAAGGGCAGCAAUAUGCCUGGUCCACUAGGGAAUUCAAUCAUUUUUCUUUGUAUAUUCCAUGCUGCUUUUAAUCUGAUUAUCUCUUUAAGAUACAUACGCUGGUAUUGACUGGUACCCUUCCUAGGAAAGCGGCGUCCCAUUUUGCAGAAGGACGUAAGCACAGCUUGUCUUUCAUAAUAACGAGAAGGAAGUACCCUUCCUUACCCAGCAUUCUGUGAAUGAUGAGACUGAGGCAGAGACAGGCUAAGGAAUUUGCCCAGGGACAAACUGCAUGCCUGUGCCAGAGCUUGGAAUAAUAUCCAGGCCUUGUUCCCAACCCAUGGUUAGAUUUUUUUAACCUUGGCAUUGAUUUUGUACGAAGGCCUAGGAAACGAAGCAGGUUACAGGGAAUGGAUGCUCAGAGUGUCUGUUUCCUCAGCUAAGAUGACUUCCUGCUUCCUCAGGCUUCCUGGGAUGGAACCCGUACUUGAGCAGCUGUGCAGAGAUAGACCAACGUGAUGGUGGCUCCCUGAGACGGGCCACGCGGUUGCCGGGUAUGAGAAUGAGAAAGGAGGUCUGAGCAACCAUACAUAAGUGACAAAGGUUCCCUUCUUGACCAGACUCUACUCAGGCUCCCCCACCCCCCAUAUCUGCUAACCCUCCACAUCUAACCGCUUUCUCCAUCCUCCACCACUCCCUCCCCCCUGCCGGGGGCGUCUGCCUUCAGCAAGAAUCCUGCCAUGACGUCACUUUAGCCAGAGCCCCUGAUGCUCCUUUUAGGGACUCUCCAACUCCUGACGCCCCCCUGCUCCUGGGUUGGAGGUUCCCACUUGUCCAUGUCGUGUUCAGAGGUCAGUCUGAGUUCUCCCCUCAUCUGCGGGGACAAAUGGGGUCUCAUGAUCCCACAGCAGUGGCCCCUGUACCCAUCCGAAGGCACCCCUUGAAUAAAGUCUGCCUUUCCAUGCU
ensembl:lncRNA